rnacentral:rRNA from 1 species
AUGAACGCUGGCGGCGUGCCUAAUACAUGCAAGUCGAGCGCACGGACGAGAAGCUUGCUUCUCUGAUGUUAGCGGCGGACGGGUGAGUAACACGUGGAUAACCUACCUAUAAGACUGGGAUAACUUCGGGAAACCGGAGCUAAUACCGGAUGAUAUUUUGAACCGCAUGGUUCAAAAGUGAAAGACGGUCUUGCUGUCACUUAUAGAUGGAUCCGCGCUGCAUUAGCUAGUUGGUAAGGUAACGGCUUACCAAGGCAACGAUGCAUAGCCGACCUGAGAGGGUGAUCGGCCACACUGGAACUGAGACACGGUCCAGACUCCUACGGGAGGCAGCAGUAGGGAAUCUUCCGCAAUGGGCGAAAGCCUGACGGAGCAACGCCGCGUGAGUGAUGAAGGUCUUCGGAUCGUAAAACUCUGUUAUUAGGGAAGAACAUAUGUGUAAGUAACUGUGCACAUCUUGACGGUACCUAAUCAGAAAGCCACGGCGAACUACGU